rnacentral:tRNA from 1 species
GGCGAGGUAGCUCAGGCGGUUAGAGCGCAGGAUUCAUAACCCUGAGGUCGGGGUUCAAGUCCCCCUCUCGCUA